CAAUAGCGUAUAUUAAUGUUGUUGCAGUUAAAAAGCUCGUAGUUGGAUUUUGGAAUGGUGUGGCGCGUCCGCCGAAUGGUGUGUAUGUGUCGUGCUAUUCUUCCUGCUGGAGGCCUGGUCUGUACUUUACUGUGCGGGUCAGGAAUUCAGCACUUUUACUUUGAAAAAAUCAGAGUGUUCAAAGCAGGCAAUCGCUUGAAUACAUUAGCAUGGAAUAAUAGAAUAGGACUUUGGUUCUAUUUUGUUGGUUUCUAGAACCGAAGUAAUGAUUAAUAGGGAUAGUUGGGGGCAUUCAUAUUUAAUUGUCAGAGGUGAAAUUCUUGGAUUUAUGAAAGAUGAACUUCUGCGAAAGCAUUUGCCAAGGAUGUUUUCAUUAA
rnacentral:rRNA from 1 species